UACGUAGGGUCUAGCGUUGUCCGGAAUUAUUGGGCGUAAAGAGCUCGUAGGCGGUUCGGCAAGUCGGAUGUGAAAUCUCCACGCUCAACGUGGAGGGCCAUUCGAUACUGUCGUGACUCGAGUCCGGUAGGGGAGUGUGGAAUUCCGGUGUAGCGGUGAAAUGCGUAGAUAUCGGAAGGAACAUCAGUGGCGAAAGCGACUUCCUGGACCAGUACCGACGUCAGGCACGAAAGCGUGGGGAGCAAACAGG
rnacentral:rRNA from 1 species